rnacentral:rRNA from 1 species
UACGGAGGGUGCAAGCAUUAAUCGGAAUUAUUGGGCGUAAAGGGCGCGUAGGCGGAAAUAUAAGUCAGAUGUGAAAUUCCGAGGCUCAACUUCGGAACUGCAUUUGAAACUAUAUAUCUAGAGGAUUGGCGGAGAAAACGGAAUUCCACGUGUAGCGGUGAAAUGCGUAGAUAUGUGGAAGAACACCUGUGGCGAAAGCGGUUUUCUAGCUAUUUCCUGACGCUGAGGCGCGAGAGCAAGGGGAGCAAACAGG